GCCAUAUUACAUUAAAACAUUUGUUCCCGCAUGAUCACCAAAAUUACGCAACAUCAAGCCAGGUCAGUACUUAGAUGGGUGACCACUUGGGAAUACCAGGUGCUGUAAG